CCCCAAAAAAGGCAAACAAACUCUGCCUUAUAGUUUUCUAGAACUGACUAUGUUGCAGGUGGUUUAAUACCAAGUGUCCUUUUGUUUAGAAAUUAAGGCCUCUUCCUUAUGGCUAGGCAGACAGAUCUGUGAAUAAUGGACUUUUUUCCCCGAUACUAGAAACUUUUUUUAAAGCUAUUCAGAGAGACCUUGGCAAAUAUUUCUCUGUCAGGCAGUAAUUGAAUAAAGUCCCAAGUUACUUGAUGCUGUCCCUCCCUUUUCCCCUGAGUUUAUUGUAUGCUUUGCUUUUUGCCUAUAAAUACCACAGAGAUAGCUAGACAGGGAAACCUUUUUUGAGAGGUGAUAUUGUCAUCUGGCAGCUACCCAGUAAGGGCCUAUUGGCUGUAAGUCAGUGCUGAGCUUUCCUGAGAGAAGGAAAGUCUAAUGUUAGUUAAAAAAACAAACAAACAAACAACAACAACAAAAAAAAAAAACCCGACAACAAAAAACCUAAAACCUCACUGUCUUGUGUUUGCUGUUUAAAGGGAAAGGAACAGAGAAUGUUUUAUCUUCCUGUAUAAGCAGACACGGACAGACUUUAAUGCUGCAGCUGAAAGCACUUCCUAAUCCCUUUUAUCACUGGGGAUUCUGUAGAGCUGUGGAUGGUACUCAGUGGCAGAUAGACAAGAGCCAAGCAAACUGGCAGCCGAAGUGCCAAGAGCAGUUCUCGGUGUUUGCCUGUGCAGUGAGCUCCACGUGCUGGGAGUAGACACUUCUCAGUACUCUGCAUCUGCUUGACUCUGAGCCUGCAUCUUCCUUGACUCUGUGCUUCAGCUGCAACGCUGCAGUUAAAACGGGUAGGCCAGAGAGGUUUGUGAUGUUCACUUGUAGCUACAAGAUGUCUUUCAUGAGAUUGUAACUGCUAUAUGAGCUGCCAUCCCUUUCUCCCAUCUAUCUCAUUUUUUGACCAUUCAUACUCUGAUGCCUACAUCUUGAACACAGCAGUGAGAUUUACCCCAGUUUCUCUUACACUGUAUUUUCCCAAGAUAUUUCUGGUUUGCACCAGGAUGAAGAGGAUCAGAACUCACGUGAGCCGGGAGAAGGAAAUAAUAGACUGGGAUGAGAAGUGUCUGGAAAAAGGAAAGCUCAUCUUCAUAUCCAGAAGGAGGGAGAGAAACUGUGCCAGAAUGAAUGACUGCUGUAGAGUAGAGCACAUGAGCCAGUUCAGCCUAUGUAAAAUAGGAGUUUAUCAUAUCACUGAAAGGAGUUCUCAUCACCCUGGGAAGAAGAAAUUUCACUGCAAUUCAGACAUCUUUAUGACAUAUUAGUGUACCAUGGAUUCAGACAUGCCAUGUCCUACCAACCCAAGAAACUUCAACCAGAACUGAACUGUGCUGGAGGACAGGAAAUCAUGGGAAGCAGGAGGACUUGAAUUAAGAGGAAGGGAUUUGUUUUUCUUCUGUUUGGAUACCAGUGCCUGUUGAGCUACGGUGACAUACUGUACAAUCUGUGCUUCUCAUUAUGCAACUAAGCAAAAGGAAGACCUGCAAAAGAUUAAAGUAAAAGUGAGUAGACUGAAGUUAUUCUUAUUUUGAGUUCAGUUUCUUUUCCCUUACUCUGUUUUGACAGG
rnacentral:lncRNA from 1 species